GACGAACGCUGGCGGCGCGCCUAACACAUGCAAGUCGAACGGAGGCAAGAGGAGCUUGCUUCUCUUGACUUAGUGGCGAACGGGUGAGUAACGCGUGAGUAACCUGCCUUGGAGUGGGGGAUAACAGUUGGAAACCACUGCUAAUACCGCAUAAUCUCACGGAUCUGCAUGGACCUGCGGGAAGAGGGUUUAUUCGCUCUAGGAUGGAAGCGCGUCCAAUUAACUAGUUGGUGAGGUAACGGCCCACCAAGGCGACGAAUGGUAGCUGGACGGCGAGGUGGCGCCGCCACAUUGAGGCUGAGCCACGGCCCAGACUCCUACGGGAGGCAGCAAUGGGGGAUAUUGCAAAGUGGGGGAAACCCUGAUGCACCGACGACGCGUGAACGAUGAAAGUUUUCAAGUUGUAAACUCCAGUCGUCAGGGAACAUCAUGACGGUACCUAACCAGAAAGCCCCGGCUAACUACGUG
rnacentral:rRNA from 1 species